rnacentral:rRNA from 1 species
GUGGAUUAGAUACCCUGGUAGUCCACGCUGUAAACGAUGGGCACUAGGUGUUCGGGGUAUUGACCCCCUGAGUGCCGCAGCUAACGCAUUAAGUGCCCCGCCUGGGGACUACGGCCGCAAGGUUAAAACUCAAAGGAAUUGACGGGGGCCCGCACAAGCGGUGGAGCAUGUGGUUUAAUUCGACGCAACGCGAAGAACCUUACCUGGGCUAGACAACACCGGACACCCCUAGAAAUAGGGUUUUCCCGCAAGGGACUGGUGGUUCAGGUGCUGCACGGCUGUCGACAGCU